GUACCAUGGAAAUUGCCUACGGUCACGAUAACCACUACCUAACCUCAAAUAAUCUAAUUUGAAAUAUACUUUCAGCAAGUCUUAUUUAGUUGAUGUUAUUUCUAUUUUUUUACAUUAUCUUAAUUGAUUUUGUGAUUUGAGUUACCCUAAAUAACUAGUACAAUAGGCUGACAGACGGUUACUGUGAGGUACAUAAUUUGCCAAUAGCGAAUCUUGUAGGAGGUAAUCAU